GGGGAGCUAGUUUAGUGGUAUAACAUUCGUUUCGCAUACGAAAGGUCUGGGGUUCGAUUCCCCAGUUCUCCA